rnacentral:rRNA from 1 species
AUGGGUCAAACGGCCAAGGACGCCACAAGAUCAUCAGUAUGGGUGCCGCCUCCAGCAAACCAUGCGAAGUUUAAUACUGAUGCGGCUGUCAUGAGAAACGGGAACUAUGGAGCAAUUGCUGUUGUGAGCCGGGACGUGGGAGGCAAGUUCCUGGGAGCCUCAUGUAUAACUGUCAGACAUAUCUCAGACCCAGAGACGCUUGAAGCUUUGGCAGUCCGAUAAGCUCUAUCACUAGCUCUCGACCUAUAUGUCCAUAGUAUUCACAUAGCGACAGACUAUAAGGCAGUGGUAGACGGGAUUGAGCAAGGAUCUUUGGCAGCACACGGAGCAAUAAUACAUGAAAUCAAGGAGUAUACGGUUUUGUUUCAUUCCUGUAACAUAGUCCACGAGUUUAGGAGCUCGAACAUCGAGGCUCACAACCUCGCUAAGCAUGCUUUAUCCCUAGGGUUUGGUCACCAUGUUUGGCUCGGUCAUCCCGGUGAUCUUAACUUUGUAUCAGAGAACAUUUUUGAGAUAUAA